rnacentral:misc_RNA from 1 species
CCAGAGCUCUCUCGCGAGACUCCCAAACCAUUGUGAACCUUACCCCCGUACGCGUUGCUUCGGCGGGCGUCCCCUCCCCGGAGGGGACGCGGCCCCUCGGGGUGCCCGCCGGCGGCCGACCAACACUCUUGAUAUCCCAGUGGACUCUCUGAGAAAAAAACCAUAAGUUA